rnacentral:rRNA from 1 species
AUCCGGAGGAUCCGAGCGUUAUCCGGAUUUAUUGGGUUUAAAGGGUGCGCAGGCGGCCAUUUAAGUCAGCGGUUAAAUCGUGGGGCUCAACCCCAUUCUGCCGUUGAUACUGGGUGGCUUGAUUGCGGUCGAGGUUGGCGGAAUUCGUUGUGUAGCGGUGAAAUGCAUAGAUAUGACGAAGAACACCGAUUGCGUAGGCAGCUGACCAGACCGCAAAUGACGCUCAUGCACGAAAGUGCGGGGAUCGAACAGGAUUAGAUACCCUGGUAGUCCGCACAGUAAACGAUGAAUACUUGUUUUCGGCGAUAUAAUGUCGGAGGCAAAGCGAAAGCGAUAAGUAUUCCACCUGGGGAGUACGCCGGCAACGGUGAAACUCAAAUGAAUUGGCGGGG